GUAAACCAAUCAUCAUAGUAUCAUGUGGCAAGUGCCAUAACUCAGGUGAUCACAGAGUGCUGUGAGAGCCCAGAGGAAAGAGGGACUAGCUCCACAUUGACAAAGACCUCCCUCUGAAAAGCUUCCAAGGGUGGUGAUGUUUGGGCUGAGUGAGAGAGGAACAGUAUGCGUUGGAAUUGAGGUCCUGGGAGGAGAUGAGAGGAGGAGAAAAGAGGACUGGAAGCCAGUGUGCAGAUGGCCCCCGAUCCUGCCCUCCCAUCCUGCUUGCCUAUCCUGAAACCAACAAGGGGGCUAGAGAGGCUGUUAAGGAGUGAGGUAAUAACUCUGACCUGUGGAGGGCUGUUUCCCAUCCUGAGACCAGCUGUGGCCAUGGAAACUGAUAACAAAUGGAAAGGUCAUUAGAUUGGUGGUGACUCAUAUUCACCAUGUGUUUGCUGAAGGUGCCCUGCCCCCUCUUCUGCCCAUUCCCCCAGGGCUGGGAUUCCCACAGAGAUGAAGGGAGGGCAAAAUCAAAGAACAAGGGCAGAGGCAGCCAUCAAGCCCCAGGCUAGGAACCAGGAAUGCUACAGAGAUGGCCCCUGCUUCUGAGAACCAGCACUCCACACUUACAAGAAAGGUAGGGGCAAAAGACAGUCCCUGGGCCCUUUCUAGUAAAAGACUGAAGGAUUUAAGAUACAUUGGUUUUGAAAAAUAACCACUGAGAAGCACUUUUUACCGCUUCUGACCAAAUUGCCAAGUUCUUGUAAUCCUCAGUGGAGGAGAGUUGGGGAUGAUGGAUGGGAUUGGGAAGGGGUGGGUUUUUAAAAGUCGGGAGGAGGGAAGGUAAUGAAGCUGGAAGAGGCAGGUGAGAUGGAUACUUCCUUAACAUGGACAAGAAACCCAGGCCUGCGGAUAGUGAUUGGAACUCAGAGUAGAGAUGCAUGUCACGGGGGUUUCCACCUCUUCUGGAUGUGUGCCAUGAUCAGGUUUUCCCUGGCAGGAGGGUCAGUUACACAUAAACACAUGGAUUUUCCCUCUAAACCUUUUUAUUUGGGGCUCUAUAAUGCUUAUUUGGGGCUAGGCAACCGUUUUUUGAGUAUUUGUCCCUCACUCCAUAUGCCAGGUUUAUAAUCUCUCGGCUUAAAACUCUGACUGUGUCUGUGGAGCCUGGUCCCACCGUCAGUUCUAGCUGUCUUUGUACCACCUGGCGUGGCUAGAGACUUGUGCUUGUUUUCAGAGCAUGGCCAUACUUGCUGCUGUACCACUUUACCACUGUGAGUAGCAAAUAACCUUUGCCUUCAGAUGAGCCCUCUGUUACUCUAAUUACCUUCUCCUUAUCUGAAUGAUCUGGAUCAUUUAAAUCCAUGAAGGUUGUUUGACUUUAGGCCAACCCUGGGUAAAUGUGCAGUUAGUCUAAGGAACCCUCACCUCAAUUGCCCAUUUUUUUCAAAAAAUUUUUCUGCCCUGAAGGAAAAUGCAGUCCCAGUAAAUUUAUUGUCAUGUGCAAAUAACUUAAUAUAUUGGUCAGUAGAUGACCACUGGCACUGUCAAAUACAACUCUGGAGAGAGUGAUAUUUAGUACAAAGAAGUGGAAGUUCAUAGUAAAGUUUAGGCAUUACUGAGAAUUAAUGUUACAUAUGAAGCAUUCCUAUACCCCUUAAUUCCUCCUAGACAAUCUACUGAAUGAUGAAAGCAAUUAAUUGGAAUGGUUGACAUCUAUAAUGGGAAGAUACCAGCCCUGUCCUUCACAGUUAUAUAAAGACGCAAAAUCAAAUCAGAAGACUUCCUCAGAUGACCCAUUUCUUGCUGAGUGCUUAUUUCGAUGAUGGUAGCAAAUGGUUCUGGUACACCUCUUCCUGGGAAUCCCUGCAAUCUUCGCAGAGAAAUAUGCAUCCUUUUGGUGGGCUAACAUCAAGGGAAACUGGAAACUGAUCAUGUAGAAGCUUCUCCCUCUCUAAUCCCUCAGAUUUGUAAACAGAGCUCCGAGAGACCAUUCAUUGUUUCUCAAACUUCCCUUGUAAGAAU